GAAAUGCGAUAAUUAAUGUGAAUUGCAGAAUUCAGUGAAUCAUCGAGUCUUUGAACGCACAUUGCGCCCCCUGGUAUUCCGGGGGGCAUGCCUGUCCGAGCGUCAUUGCUGCCCUCAAGCACGGCUUGUGUGUUGGGCUUCGUCCCUGGCAACGGGGACGGGCCCAAAAGGCAGUGGCGGCACCAUGUCUGGUCCUCGAGCGUAUGGGGCUUUGUCACCCGCUCCCGUAGGUCCAGCUGGCAGCUAGCCUCGCAACCAAUCUUUUUAACCAGGUUGACCUCGGAUCAGGUAGGGAUACCCGCUGAACUUAAGC
rnacentral:misc_RNA from 1 species